UUGACAUUCUGAACGUGAAGGCAUACUUUCAGGAGUGAGGGUAGAGCGGGGUUUCCCCCGCCCUGGUAGUCUUAGUAUGCUGGGUAGCUAAUCACUAAGAAGCACCACGAUGAUGAGUAUCUUCAUCAUGACCCUUUCCUUAUU
rnacentral:sRNA from 1 species